GGGCGUGUCGGCCUUGGAAUCUGCCGUCGGGGCGACUUUCGGUUUCGUCGCGGGGGCGAGACCUGACCAUCAGUCGGGGGCCUGCUAGAUUCGGCGGGGUCCCAACCCUUCCUUCGCUUUUCCUUCAGACCCUUGAACUCGGUUGAGCGCCGGUCGGAGGCUCCUUCGUCCGCGCGCAUAUACUUGUACGCGCGCUCCAGCAAUUCGGCAUAUGUACGGGGGAGGGUCUUGUCCAGGGAGUAGGUGAAUCGAGAUGCCCUCAGCCCC
rnacentral:lncRNA from 1 species